rnacentral:miRNA from 1 species
ACAAGCUUUCAGGAGAACCUCCCUUUCUCAAGUCUGAGGACUCGAAACCUUUCAGACUUGAGAAAGGGAGGUUCUCCCGAAAGCUUG